rnacentral:rRNA from 1 species
CCUACGGGUGGCAGCAGUGAGGAAUAUUGGUCAAUGGACGAGAGUCUGAACCAGCCAAGUAGCGUGAAGGAUGACUGCCCUAUGGGUUGUAAACUUCUUUUAUAUGGGAAUAAAAUGUUCCACGUGUGGGAUUUUGUAUGUACCAUAUGAAUAAGGAUCGGCUAACCCCGUGCCAGCAGCCGCGGUAAGACGGAGGAUCCGAGCGUUAUCCGGAUUUAUUGGGUUUAAAGGGAGCGUAGGUGGAUUGUUAAGUCAGUUGUGAAAGUUUGGGGCUCAACCGUAAAAUUGCAGUUGAAACUGGCAGUCUUGAGUACAGUAGAGGUGGGCGGAAUUCGUGGUGUAGCGGUGAAAUGCUUAGAUAUCACGAAGAACUCCGAUUGCGAAGGCAGUUCACUGGACUGCAACUGACACUGAGGCUCGAAAGUGUGGGUAUCAAACAGGAUUAGAUACCCUUGUAGUC